AUUCCAGGGAUUGUCUUUGCAAGAGGGCCUGUUGUUGCUUUGUUGAUUCUUUUGGAGUCCAAAGGGUAAACUUAUGUUGUUCUUACUGAACAGGCUAGAAUUCUUAUUGGAAAGUUUAUAUUGGAGCUACCAGCUGGAAUGCUAGAUGAUGAAAAUGGCGACUUUGUUGGCACCGCAGUCCGAGAGGUUGAAGAAGAAACUGGUAUGAAGUUAAAUCUAGAGGGCAUGGUUGAUCUUACUGCUUUGUUGGACCCUGCUACUAGGUGCAGAAUGCUACCAUCACCGGGUGGCUAUGACGAAGAGAUUGGCAUGUUGCUUUACAGGGGGCACGUGGACGAGGAGACUAUCAGGGCUCUCCAAGGGAAGGAAACGGGCCUGUGGGACCAUGGCGAGCUGAUAAAGCUGUGUGUGGUCCCCUAUGACCAGCUCUGGCGCAUGACGAAUGCGAAUACGCUCUCGGCAAUAGCUCUGUACGAUAUGGGCAAGAAGGAAGGCGUCCUACCGCUGUUGCCACCAUCUAGCGGCUCAUCGUCGAACUUGUAA
rnacentral:rRNA from 1 species